rnacentral:rRNA from 1 species
GAUGAACGCUGGCGGCGUGCCUAAUACAUGCAAGUCGAGCGAACAGACGAGGAGCUUGCUCCUCUGACGUUAGCGGCGGACGGGUGAGUAACACGUGGAUACCCUACCUAUAAGACUGGGAUAACUUCGGGAAACCGGAGCUAAUACCGGAUAAUAUAUUGAACCGCAUGGUUCAAUAGUGAAAGACGGUUUUGCUGUCACUUAUAGAUGGAUCCGCGCUGCAUUAGCUAGUUGGUAAGGUAACGGCUUAUCAAGGCAACGAUGCGUAGCCGACCUGAGAGGGUGAUCGGCCACACUGGAACUGAGACACGGUCCAGACUCCUACGGGAGGCAGCAGUAGGGAAUCUUCCGCAAUGGGCGAAAGCCUGACGGAGCAACGCCGCGUGAGUGAUGAAGGUCUUCGGAUCGUAAAACUCUGUUAUUAGGGAAGAACAAAUGUGUAAGUAACUGUGCACGUCUUGACGGUACCUAAUCAGAAAGCCACGGCUAACUACGUG